CCAAGACCGUGAUGCAUAGCCGACCUGAGAGGGUAAUCGGCCACACUGGGACUGAGACACGGCCCAGACUCCUACGGGAGGCAGCAGUAGGGAAUCUUCCACAAUGGACGAAAGUCUGAUGGAGCAACGCCGCGUGAGUGAAGAAGGUUUUCGGAUCGUAAAACUCUGUUGUUGGAGAAGAAUGUAUCUGAUAGUAACUGAUCAGGUAGUGACGGUAUCCAACCAGAAAGCCACGGCUAACUACGUGCCAGCAGCCGCGGUAAUACGUAGGUGGCAAGCGUUGUCCGGAUUUAUUGGGCGUAAAGCGAGCGCAGGCGGUUUCUUAAGUCUGAUGUGAAAGCCUUCGGCUCAACCGAAGAAGUGCAUCGGAAACUGGGAAACUUGAGUGCAGAAGAGGACAGUGGAACUCCAUGUGUAGCGGUGAAAUGCGUAGAUAUAUGGAAGAACACCAGUGGCGAAGGCGGCUGUCUGGUCUGUAACUGACGCUGAGGCUCGAAAGCAUGGGUAGCAAACAGGAUUAGAUACCCUGGUAGUCCAUGCCGUAAACGAUGAGUGCUAGGUGUUGGAGGGUUUCCGCCCUUCAGUGCCGCAGCUAACGCAUUAAGCACUCCGCCUGGGGAGUACGACCGCAAGGUUGAAACUCAAAGGAAUUGACGGGGGCCCGCACAAGCGGUGGAGCAUGUGGUUUAAUUCGAAGCAACGCGAAGAACCUUACCAGGUCUUGACAUCCUUUGACCACUCUAGAGAUAGAGCUUUCCCUUCGGGGACAAAGUGACAGGUGGUGCAUGGUUGUCGUCAGCUCGUGUCGUGAGAUGUUGGGUUAAGUCCCGCAACGAGCGCAACCCUUAUUACUAGUUGCCAGCAUUUAGUUGGGCACUCUAGUGAGACUGCCGGUGACAAACCGGAGGAAGGUGGGGACGACGUCAAAUCAUCAUGCCCCUUAUGACCUGGGCUACACACGUGCUACAAUGGAUGGUACAACGAGUUGCGAGACCGCGAGGUUUAGCUAAUCUCUUAAAACCAUUCUCAGUUCGGAUUGUAGGCUGCAACUCGCCUACAUGAAGCCGGAAUCGCUAGUAAUCGCGGAUCAGCAUGCCGCGGUGAAUACGUUCCCGGGCCUUGUACACACCGCCCGUCACACCAUGAGAGUUUGUAACACCCAAAGCCGGUGAGGUAACCCUUCGGGAGCCAGCCGUCUAAG
rnacentral:rRNA from 1 species